UGCUUGAUCUGACAGCUGUCAGCUGUAAUGUUUAUACCAAUCCUACUGUACAAAAAUGGAUCGUUUUAUUAGUUAUGUGCUGCAUUAUGGUGUUCUUGGCUGCGUUAGAGAUGCUGCUCACCAUUGCCUCUUCGUUGUUUACUUGGAGUGUCGCCUGCAGCCGCACCGCAACGAGAUUGGUGGAGGCUCCUAGCCAAACGCCAC